AACAGCACAAGAGAAUCACACGGUUAUUCAAGAAUUCAUUGAAGAAGCCAAAAUGCAGACAGGUCAAGAAGUGUACCCAGUUGGGUAAACAUUGCCGUGGAGUGGAAGGACAACGGAUGACCCGACCCAAUUGAGAACCAGCGACGACGAUACCGACCCGAAAGUUGAAGGCGCUUUGCCUCUGCUCAGAUCACCUCUGAAAGAAGAAGAAGAGGAGUAGGAGGAGGAGACCCAGCAGCAGGGAGACCAGGUCGAGGGCAAUUAAAGGGCGGGUUUGUUGCAUGAUGGAGCGAAUGAUCAGCGAGGAUUUAUGCUGAUGUCUAGCUUGGGAGCCACGGAUUUCGAAUUGGAAUAGCUUGCGAGAUGGGGGUCUGCACACCGGGGGGAGGAAUUUUAAUGACGUUUCUUGUUUUCCCUGUCGUUCGGUAAUUCGAAGGAGUUAGAAAUGGCAUUCCUUCUGAUGGGUGGAAAUCUGUCCGAGCAGGUUCUUUACUUUAAUUUCUGCGUUAUGCUUAUUCCUUGCGUUGGCUGUGGUUUACAAGUGCACAUUUUGAUGAUUUGUUAGACCGUCUCUGUACUUGAUAGUUAUAGUUUGUUCACAUACGAAAGUACAUGCAUAUGCAAUAUAGAAUCUAUCCUUUUGUUAUAUAUAGAUAUAUAAGAUUGAUGUCUUAUGUGAUCUAAUCAUAACAUUA